rnacentral:rRNA from 1 species
UACACACGGAUAACAUACCGAAAGGUAUGCUAAUACGGGAUAAUAUAUUUGAGAGGCAUCUCUUAAAUAUCAAAGGUGAGCCAGUACAGGAUGGACCCGCGUCUGAUUAGCUAGUUGGUAAGGUAAUGGCUUACCAAGGCGACGAUCAGUAGCCGACCUGAGAGGGUGAUCGGCCACAUUGGAACUGAGACACGGUCCAAACUCCUACGGGAGGCAGCAGUGGGGAAUAUUGCACAAUGGGCGAAAGCCUGAUGCAGCAACGCCGCGUGAGUGAUGAAGGCCUUCGGGUCGUAAAACUCUGUCCUCAAGGAAGAUAAUGACGGUACUUGAGGAGGAAGCCCCGGCUAACUACGUGCCAGCAGCCGCGGUAAUACGUAGGGGGCUAGCGUUAUCCGGAUUUACUGGGCGUAAAGGGUGCGUAGGCGGUCUUUCAAGUCAGGAGUGAAAGGCUACGGCUCAACCGUAGUAAGCUCUUGAAACUGGGAGACUUGAGUGCAGGAGAGGAGAGUGGAAUUCCUAGUGUAGCGGUGAAAUGCGUAGAUAUUAGGAGGAACACCAGUUGCGAAGGCGGCUCUCUGGACUGUAACUGACGCUGAGGCACGAAAGCGUGGGGAGCAAACAGGAUUAGAUACCCUGGUAGUCCACGCUGUAAACGAUGAGUACUAGGUGUCGGGGGUUACCCCCUUCGGUGCCGCAG